UAGGGAAUCUUCCGCAAUGGGCGAAAGCCUGACGGAGCAACGCCGCGUGAGUGAUGAAGGUCUUCGGAUCGUAAAACUCUGUUAUUAGGGAAGAACAAAUGUGUAAGUAACUAUGCACGUCUUGACGGUACCUAAUCAGAAAGCCACGGCUAACUACGUGCCAGCAGCGGCGGUAAUACGUAGGUGGCAAGCGGUAUCCGGAAUUAUCGGGCGUAAAGCGCGCGUAGGCGGUGUUUUAAGUCUGAUGUGAAAGCCCACGGCUCAACCGUGGAGGGUCAUUGGAAACUGGAAAACUUGAGUGCAGAAGAGGAAAGUGGAAUUCCAUGUGUAGCGGUGAAAUGCGCGGAGAUAUGGAGGAACACCAGUGGCGAAGGCGACUUUCUGGUCUGUAACUGACGCUGAUGUGCGAAAGCGUGGGGAUCAAACAGG
rnacentral:rRNA from 1 species